UACGGAGGGUGCGAGCGUUGUUCGGAAUCACUGGGCGUAAAGCGCGUGUAGGCGGUCUGGCAAGUCUGGUGUGAAAGCCCGGGGCUCACCCCCGGAAGUGCACUGGAAACUGCCAGACUCGAGUCCCGGAGAGGAGAGUAGAAUUCCUGGUGUAGCGGUGAAAUGCGUAGAUAUCAGGAGGAAUACCGGUGGCGAAGGCGGCUCUCUGGACGGUGACUGACGCUGAGACGCGGAAGCUAGGGGAGCGAAAGGG
rnacentral:rRNA from 1 species